rnacentral:snoRNA from 1 species
CCUGAUCAGUGCUGAUACCUUUUUAUGUGACUGUUGGAUGAAACUUGUGGAUAUGUGACUUAGAUCAGGG